GGGGGCGAUGUGGUUUCGACGGGGAUAUGGUAGGUUUAAGCUGCAUGCCGGGGUCCUAUCACCUCGUGAAAAAUGAUAGGGUAAAACACAAAUGCCAACGAUUACGAAUACGCUCUGGCUGCUUAAUUAACGCAGUCAGCGUCUGUCUGGCUCAGCCUGCGGAGCUAGAGCAGACGUCGGUAAAGCAGGCUAGCUGUUGGCUGUAGCCUAUGGCAGCCAAUAGCGAAAUUUGACAUAGGCUAGCUUCUGGACUUCUUGUUCGGGGGAAAGCCAGAAGCGAAUAUGAAAACCCGAACUAAGCAUGUAGAGGCUUAAACCGAAUGUCUCCGGACGCGGGUUCGAUUCCCGCCGCCUCCACCA
rnacentral:tmRNA from 1 species